GACGAACGCUGGCGGCGUGCUUAACACAUGCAAGUCGAGCGGGCGUAGCAAUACGUCAGCGGCGGACGGGUGAGUAACACGUGGGAAUAUGCCUUUCGGUUUGGAACAACUCGGGGAAACCCGUGCUAAUUCCGGAUACGCCCUUAGGGGGAAAGAUUUAUCGCCGAAAGAUUAGCCCGCGUCCGAUUAGCUAGUUGGUGAGGUAAACGGCCCACCAAGGCGACGAUCGGUAGCUGGUUUGAG
rnacentral:rRNA from 1 species